rnacentral:rRNA from 1 species
GAUGAACGCUGGCGGCGUGCUUAACACAUGCAAGUCGAACGGAAAGGCCAGUGCUUGCACUGGUGCUCGAGUGGCGAACGGGUGAGUAACACGUGGGUGAUCUGCCCUGCACUUUGGGAUAAGCCUGGGAAACUGGGUCUAAUACCAGAUAGGACCAUGCUUUGGAUGGUGUGGUGGAAAGUUUUUUCGGUGUGGGAUGAGCUUGCGGCCUAUCAGCUUGUUGGUGGGGUAAUGGCCUACCAAGGCGUCGACGGGUAGCCGGCCUGAGAGGGUGUACGGCCACAUUGGGACUGAGAUACGGCCCAGACUCCUACGGGAGGCAGCAGUGGGGAAUACUGCACAAUGGGCGCAAGCCUGAUGCAGCGACGCCGCGUGGGGGAUGACGGCCUUCGGGUUGUAAACUCCUUUCGCAACUGACGAAGCUUUUUGUGACGGUAGGUUGAGAAGAAGCACCGGCUAACUACGUG